GCCCCGGUAGCUCAAAGGACAGAGCAACGGUCUUCUAAACCGUUGGCUGUGGGUUCGAGUCCCACCCGGGGCGCCA
rnacentral:tRNA from 1 species